rnacentral:rRNA from 1 species
GAUGAACGCUAGCUACAGGCUUAACACAUGCAAGUCGAGGGGAAACGACAUCGAAAGCUUGCUUUUGAUGGGCGUCGACCGGCGCACGGGUGAGUAACGCGUAUCCAACCUGCCCACCACUUGGGGAUAACCUUGCGAAAGUAAGACUAAUACCCAAUGACGUCUCUAGAAGACAACUGAAGGAGAUUAAAGAUUUAUCGGUGAUGGCUGGGGAUGCGUCUGAUUAGCUGGUUGGCGGGGUAACGGCCCACCAAGACGACGAUCAGUAGGGGUUCUGAGAGGAAGGUCCCCCACAUUGGAACUGAGACACGGUCCAAACUCCUACGGGAGGCAGCAGUGAGGAAUAUUGGUCAAUGGGCGAGAGCCUGAACCAGCCAAGUAGCGUGCAGGAUGACGGCCCUAUGGGUUGUAAACUGCUUUUAUAAGGGAAUAAAGUGAGUCUCGUGAGACUUUUUGCAUGUACCUUAUGAAUAAGGACCGGCUAAUUCCGUGCCAGCCGCCGCGGUAA